rnacentral:tRNA from 1 species
AGUGGUAGAGCUGUACAGCGCGUGCUUAGCAUGCACAAGGUCCUGGGUUCAAUCCCCAGUACCUCCA